rnacentral:snRNA from 1 species
AAUGUGAAGGUAACUUGGCUGUGAUAUCUGUCCCCUUAAUGAUCACCAGAGUUCUUUUCCCUGAUAUGGUUGGUGAACAGGUUGUCCCUUUUCUCCCUCACCAUUU